rnacentral:lncRNA from 1 species
GUGGCUACUCUAUGAUUGGAUUUAGAGUGGGUGAGAGAGACAGAAAGAAAUAGAAGGGAGAAGGGGGUUAAGAAGAGAGGCUUAUGGUUGGAUUUAGAGUGGGUGAGAGAGACAGAAAGAAAUAAACUGCCAUCCAACUUUGAAGGCUAUAUUUUUAAAAAGCUUGGGUUUUCAGAUCAAUGAUAGUCCAUCAUGAUUCGAACUCAAGUCAAUUGCAUAGCAGCCAAGGCCCAUUCCACCAAGCCACUCCCUUGAUGG